AGUGGCGAACGGGUGAGUAACACGUGAGCAACCUGCCCUGGACUCUGGGAUAAGCGCUGGAAACGGCGUCUAAUACUGGAUAUGAGACGUGAUCGCAUGGUCGUGUUUGGAAAGAUUUUUCGGUCUGGGAUGGGCUCGCGGCCUAUCAGCUUGUUGGUGAGGUAAUGGCUCACCAAGGCGUCGACGGGUAGCCGGCCUGAGAGGGUGACCGGCCACACUGGGACUGAGACACGGCCCAGACUCCUACGGGAGGCAGCAGUGGGGAAUAUUGCACAAUGGGCGGAAGCCUGAUGCAGCAACGCCGCGUGAGGGAUGACGGCCUUCGGGUUGUAAACCUCUUUUAGCAGGGAAGAAGCGAAAGUGACGGUACCUGCAGAAAAAGCGCCGGCUAACUACGUGCCAGCAGCCGCGGUAAUACGUAGGGCGCAAGCGUUAUCCGGAAUUAUUGGGCGUAAAGAGCUCGUAGGCGGUUUGUCGCGUCUGCUGUGAAAUCCCGAGGCUCAACCUCGGGCCUGCAGUGGGUACGGGCAGACUAGAGUGCGGUAGGGGAGAUUGGAAUUCCUGGUGUAGCGGUGGAAUGCGCAGAUAUCAGGAGGAACACCGAUGGCGAAGGCAGAUCUCUGGGCCGUAACUGACGCUGAGGAGCGAAAGGGUGGGGAGCAAACAGGCU
rnacentral:rRNA from 1 species